GUGCUUGCUUUGGCACCACAUAUACUAAAAUUGGAAUGAUACAGAGAAGAUUAAAAUGGCCCCUGUGAGGGGAUGACAUGCAAAUUCAUGAACCAUUCCAUAUUUUC